rnacentral:rRNA from 1 species
GACUAACGCUGGCGGCGUGCCUAACACAUGCAAGUCGAACGAAGCAGCAAUGCUUAGUGGCAGACGGGUGAGUAACGCGUAGAUAAUGUGCCCUCUUGCGGGGGAUACCGUUUCGAAAGGAACGUUAAUACCGCAUAAAGUCCUUGGGAGGCAUCUCCUAGGGACCAAACUUCCGGGGCGGGAGGAGCAAUCUGCGUACUAUCAGGUAGUUGGUGAGGUAACGGCUCACCAAGCCUACGACGGUUAACUGGUCUGAGAGGAUGAUCAGUCACACUGGAACUGAGACACGGUCCAGACUCCUACGGGAGGCAGCAGUGAGGAAUAUUGCACAAUGGGCGAAAGCCUGAUGCAGCGACGCCGCGUGGAGGAUGAAGGAUUUCGGUCUGUAAACUCCUGUCAGUAGGGAAGAGAAUGGACGGUACCUACUGAGGAAGCUUCGGCUAACUACGUGCCAGCAGCCGCGGUAAU